CAGUAGCCGCGGUAAUACGUAGGUCCCGAGCGUUGUCCGGAUUUAUUGGGCGUAAAGGGAGCGCAGGCGGUUUAGUAAGUCUGGAGUUAAAGGCAUUGGCUCAACCAAUGUAUGCUUUGGAAACUGUUUGACUUGAGUGCAGAAGGGGAGAGUGGAAUUCCAUGUGUAGCGGAGAAAUGCGUAGAUAUAUGGAGGAACACCGGUGGCGAAAGCGGCUCUCUGGUCUGUCACUGACGCUGAGGCUCGGAAGCGUGGGUAGCGAACAGGAUUAGAUACCCCCGUAGUCCCUGUCUCUUAUACA
rnacentral:rRNA from 1 species